GACGAACGCUGGCGGCGUGCCUAAUACAUGCAAGUUGAGCGAUGAAGCUUGGUGCUUGCACCAAUUUGAAGAGCAGCGAACGGGUGAGUAACGCGUGGGGAAUCUGCCUUUGAGCGGGGGACAACAUUUGGAAACGAAUGCUAAUACCGCAUAACAACUUUAAACAUAAGUUUUAAGUUUGAAAGAUGCAAUUGCAUCACUCAAAGAUGAUCCCGCGUUGUAUUAGCUAGUUGGUGAGGUAAAGGCUCACCAAGGCGAUGAUACAUAGCCGACCUGAGAGGGUGAUCGGCCACAUUGGGACUGAGACACGGCCCAAACUCCUACGGGAGGCAGCAGUAGGGAAUCUUCGGCAAUGGACGAAAGUCUGACCGAGCAACGCCGCGUGAGUGAAGAAGGUUUUCGGAUCGUAAAACUCUGUUGGUAGAGAAGAACGUUGGUGAGAGUGGAAAGCUCAUCAAGUGACGGUAACUACCCAGAAAGGGGCGGCUAACUACGUG
rnacentral:rRNA from 1 species